GUUUACAACAAAACUACAGUCAUUAACUUUGUUCAGAAUAUAAUAUUCCAUACGAGAAAAUAAUGGCGGUUUAAAUCACUUCCACGUCUCAGCAGGCUUGCUUUUCCAAUAAAGUCAACCAUACAAAGUUAAAAGCUAGAGCAUGAAUACAUAAUGCAUAGAGAAUUCGGCCGAUGACAAACCUAGAUAAUUACUCAAAAUUGUUAUGCCUCCUGAAAUUUGUCUUAUCCAUGCACCUAAGUUGUAAUAUUACACUCAUAUACAGAAUUGAAUUUAAAAUUGCAAAUGAUGAAUAUAAAGCUGUAUUUGAAGAUGCAGAAGCAACAUCAUAUUCAAGAUACUGCCUGGUCAAAUAUUCACAAAACAUGAGUUCCUGAUCGCCGGGUAAGGCAAAAGAGCCAAAUCCUAGAAGCAAUAAGGAGCUCUGAAGUCUGUACUCUUAAGCUGCCUUCUUAAAGGCUUAAGAGGAACCUCUGAAUAAUUUUAAAUGUGCACGCGGCCCCUUUGAUCGUGCUUCUAGAAGCUUUGCCUUCAAAGUAUUUUCCUUCAAGGUUGGAGGCACUUUAGUGGAAGACUCAGAAAUGUCCAGAUCUGGGGUUGCGAGUUUUGCCAUCCACUGUCUAACUGGACUAGCAUUUCUCCGGGAUGGGUAACUGGAGGAAGCCUCACCUGCGACAUUUUCAUGAUGCACAUUCCCAGCUUCUGAUGAUGAAAUAUGACUUCUUAUCAAGUUAUCAAUCACAUAAUUUGGGUUCAGCCCAUGGAUCUCAUCAACUUUAUUAACUUUUACAAGGUUGCCACCUUCAAUAGCAUCAUAAUUUUCAGACUUCCAUGAAAUACUCAUUUCAUUUUGAUUCCUUUCACUUGUUUUUACCUCUUCUGCGCCCACCAACUGAGACUUCUCGUUUACAUUAGAUGCCAUUGCCCAAGCCAUUUGUUCUUCGAAUUUAACUUGCAAGCUUGAUGGAUUCUGACAUCUAAUUCUCUCACCAGAUGCAAACUUUUUUGUUUGACUAGAUUUGACUGUUUCAUCAAUAUGUCCACCUACAGCAUCAUCUCCAUGCAUGUUAAAUUCAACAUUACUUGGUUUGUUAAGCUCAAAACAAUGUGAAUCGCUACUUGCAGAAUCCUCUUCAUCACCGACAUCCUUAGGUGCACUCCCAGCCACAUUCAGGGGAACAGAUUCCAUUGAAUUCCGGCAUUCCCUUGGCAACUUGUUAUCAGUAAUCUUAGAAUUAGCAAUCCACUUGGCUUUAAGGAAGGUCUCUAUUUCAAAACCCAAUUUUUCCACUAUUGAAUUGUUUUCAGCAAAACCAUGCUGAGCUUCUUCUAGCCUCAUCUGCAUCCUCUCAUCCAGCCAUGAUUCAGAUAUGUGGAGAAUUAAGUGAUCACCAUCAGCCCUUCCAACCCAAUCCUUGUCAGAUUUUGGUUUCAGAACAUGCAUUUCCUGUUCAUAGUCUUUAAUUCCCUUAGCAAACUGAUCACAAAGAUCUUCCAACAAUUUUCUUGAUUUUCUCUCUUUUUCCAUCUCUUUAACAGCAUUAGAAAGAGAAGAUUUGACUUCAGAAAGUUCUCGAGCUAAUUUCCUGUGUAGGCUCUCAGAUCGUUUUCUUAACUUCUUCUCAUCUUCUAGCUCAUCCCUGAGACAUUGAAUUGCAGCAUGUAACCGGUCCUGUUCCUUGCUCUUCCUAACUAGUUUAUCUUCUGCAAUUUGUUUCAUCAAAUCGUCUAUCUCAUGCCGAUGUGCUUGCUGAUCUCGAAGAAGCUCUUUUAUCCUGACACGAGCAUGAUCCAGCCCCGUUUUCAAUGCCUUUAUCAAUGACAUAUUAGAUGCAUGUUGUUCUUCCAGGCUCCAGAUUCUAUUUAAUACUUUUAGCAGUUCAGUGGAUGUUUUAAGACUAUAGUGUGACUCACCAAUCCUUCCCCUAAAGUCUAAUGAGCUGGAAGGUGUAACUGAAGGAUUAUAAGGUGCCACCUGUAUGAGAAAUGCAUGUCAAAUAGUGAGGACGGGCCAACAGGCCCUCGUGAAUAACAUACAAUUCAAGGUGAUGUGGAAAUGCUUGUCUAGCAAUAAAUGUUCAUUCUCCAGCGGCACAUCUCUAGAGUUUAUUAGAGAUGUUUCAUGAAAAAGGAAUUACUCUGUCAUCAUUUGCAUAUCAUGUUUGUUUGGGUCGAAACAUUAACAUAUGAUAAAACUUCACUUGUUAAUCCUGUUUGGUAAGACAGGGUUGUAUAUUACAGAGUAACCAUUUCCCCCCUUGUAUGCCAGGUUACAAAUCUGCAAUUGUAAAUAAGAUUAUUAAAAAAUGAGAGAGAAAGAGGGAGACAGCAAGUGUGGAAUAUGCUGUACAUACACUAGUUAAACAGUACAACUAGGGGCAAAAACCAGGGGCUCAACCCAAAGAUUCUACCCAAUUUAGGGAAUAUAGUUCCAAGCCCUAGAAGUUGGUGUAGGACUAAUCAUGGAUCCUAAUCAGUUUGCCUCUCUCUAUUUCAAGUAGAUUCUACACAAGUAUCAACUGUAGAAUCCUAUGCACUGGGUGAUUUAGAGAGAGCAAGAUUCUACACAAGUCUUACCUCCACAGAACUGCCAUAACUUGCAGGAGAUACAGGCUGUAGAGCAUGAUUACUUCUUUCAAUUGAUAGAUGAUGCUGAAUUAGUGAUGCAGCAAUAUGUCUCCUCAAACUGCCUGCACUCUCUGGCUGGUCAGGAGAACUACGGGAAUGAUCAACCAAGCAGUGGGCUAGGUCAAGGCCCUUCUCCUUAAAAAGAUGGCGCCGGUUUUGGUGGCGGCGCAACCUAGGAUCACCAGAAGCAGCACCAUUACUGUGAUUAUUAAUAUGCACACCCCGGUGCAUUUUAGAGAGAGGCGGGUAAUGCUGGAACUCCCAGAGAGCAGCAGUAAGCUUUCUAGCAGACACAACAGUGGCAGCAGGCUUGUUAAGAGAAAAAGAAGUAGAAGAAGAAGGCUCCUCCUGGUUGUUGGCAAUGAUGCUAACAUGCGCAUAGGGUGAAGAGGCAGUCCAAGGUCUAAUUGGAGUGCAAGAAAAAGGGCCCACCCUCUUCCCUACCAAAACCCCUCUCCUCAACUUUUCAUCCAAUCUCUCUUCCUUUUUGGCUGCCCCAUGUCCACUUUUCUCUCCCCUUUUGGCUCUCAUUUUUUAUUUUUGUUUCUUCUUUUUCUCCCCUCUCUCUCAUGACUCGAAGACAUGGUUGUUUACUUUCUCUCUCAUUCUUUUAAGGGUUUUGCUUUUUUUGAGUGUUGGGUUUUGUAGAAAGCGUGUAGAAGAUCUUUCUUGAUCAGAGUCUUCUGGGAUAGAAGGCGAAGUGAAAGUGAAAUUGAUUUGUUUUUAAUUAUGGUUAUGUUGUUUCUGCAGUUUCUAGUCAUCCAUGGCCAAAAGGAGUGAGGGAAAUCGACAAGGGAAAGUGGUUGGAUUACCUGUCAUGCAUUUAGUUCGGUCACCCGCCACCACUCUCCCUCUGCAAUGUAACUAGGGCAUGGAAUAAUU
rnacentral:misc_RNA from 1 species